UACGACUUAGCGGCGGACGGGUGAGUAACGCGUGGGUAACCUGCCUUACACUGGGGGAGUAACAAGUUAGAAAUGACUGCUAAUACCGCAUAAGCGCACAGGGCCGCAUGGUCUGGUGUGAAAAACUCCGGUGGUGUAAGAUGGACCCGCGUCUGAUUAGGUAGUUGGUGGGGUAACGGCCCACCAAGCCGACGAUCAGUAGCCGACCUGAGAGGGUGACCGGCCACAUUGGGACUGAGACACGGCCCAAACUCCUACGGGAGGCAGCAUG
rnacentral:rRNA from 1 species